ACAUUCUUAUAACAUAGCAUUAAUGCAUUAGAUCCCAUUAGAACUUCAUAGUUAAGUGCGCUCAUGCUAGAAUAGUACUGGGAUGAGUGAUCACCCGAGAAUUCCUUGUAUUUUGCAUGCC
rnacentral:rRNA from 1 species